rnacentral:rRNA from 1 species
UGGGGAAUAUUGCACAAUGGAGGGAACUCUGAUGCAGCGACGCCGCGUGAACGAAGAAGGCUUUCGAGUCGUAAAGUUCUUUUAUAUGGGAAGAUAAUGACGGUACCAUAAGAAAAAGCCCCGGCUAACUACGUGCCAGCAGCCGCGGUAAUACGUAGGGGGCUAGCGUUGUCCGGAAUCACUGGGCGUAAAGGGUUCGCAGGCGGAAAUGCAAGUCAGGUGUAAAAGGCAGUAGCUUAACUACUGUAAGCAUUUGAAACUGCAUAUCUUGAGAAGAGUAGAGGUAAGUGGAAUUUUUAGUGUAGCGGUGAAAUGCGUAGAUAUUAAAAAGAAUACCGGUGGCGAAGGCGACUUACUGGGCUAAUUCUGACGCUGAGGAACGAAAGCGUGGGUAGCAAACAGG